rnacentral:lncRNA from 1 species
AUGAAUGCAUCUAGUUUUAAUAUUUGUGAGAGUAGGAGGAACGUAGGAGGAGCACAGAAGUUACACAUCUCCAGAUUAGAUGGUUAUCCAAAUGAGGUUUCCUGUCAGCAUCUCGAUUGGAGUGGCUUUGUGAGUGAAGAAAGUAAAGAAAGUCCACACAGAUUCAGAACUGAACAAGAUCGAUGUCAGCCUGGAAGAACUGCUUAUAGUUACAGCAGCACUGUGCAUCAAGGGACAGCACCUCUACAUAUGGAGAAGGUAAAGCAUUUACAUUAAUACUAAUACUCAAAUGCACCCAAUAUUGAAGGCCCUUUCAAGAGUGACUUCUGCCUCCACUUGGCAUGGUAAACCAGGUGAUUUUUUGCCAUUUGCAGUGGUUAUCCACACCAGUUUCAAUUUGAAAUACACUUAUAUCCUCCUUCAUUGUCUUGAAAAUUAUUUGUAUUCCACCUCAGAUACUCAUUUUGCACAUUCUGAUUACUGCCCUUAAAACUUGAAAAAACAUUGUGCUUGACUGCUGCCUCCUGGGGAAGAUUGAGAAAGUAAAAUCACACCCACAAAGCAAAACCUUCAGUGAGUCUUUUAUGUAAUGUUUGAACUUUGUAGAUUUUAACACUCAGCUUGACAAACCCAUCACCAUUUCAUACCUUACUGAAUCCUCCCAGUACUACCCAGCAUAUAAUAUUUAAACUUUAACUUCAUUUAAAACAUAAUUUUAAACUUGAAAUUCUGAAGGGUUGAUGAGAUAGAAAUUGGUCUGAAGCAUUAAGGGAGAAGAACAUUUAUUUUGUAAUAUAUUUAGUACUUUGCAAGUCUAUAUCUUAUUUAAGAAAUGGCUUAACCACUUGGGACCCAGAAAAUUUAUUAAUAGUUUGUGAAACUUACUUCUUUUUUACAAGGAUAAAUCAUUUUGGAAAGUAGUUUUCAGGUUCCUAAUUUGCUUCACGUUUUCAAAAUGUGAGUAUACACUUUGUGAGUAUAAGAUGAAAAAAUACCACGGCGAAUUGAGGCAAAUAGUAUCUGAUGAGCUUCUGGAUCUCUUUGGGUUCCUUUCAAGUGCUUUAAAAGGUAAAAAUAAAAGGUGAGGUUAUUGACA